UCAAAGCCUUUUUGAAUUAACUCUUGCUU
rnacentral:piRNA from 1 species